AACGAACGCUGGCGGCAUGCCUAACACAUGCAAGUCGAACGAGACCUUCGGGCCUAGUGGCGCACGGGUGCGUAACGCGUGGGAACCUGCCCUUAGGUUCGGAAUAACUCCCUGAAAGGGGUGCUAAUACCGGAUAAUGUCUUCGGACCAAAGAUUUAUCGCCUUUGGAUGGGCCCGCGUUGGAUUAGCUAGUUGGUAGGGUAAAAGCCUCCCAAGGCGACGAUCCAUAGCUGGUCUGAGAGGAUGAUCAGCCACACUGGGACUGAGACACGGCCCAGACUCCUACGGGAGGCAGGAGUGGGGAAUAUUGGACAAUGGGCGAAAGCCUGAUCCAGCAAUGCCGCGUGAGUGAUGAAGGCCUUAGGGUUGUAAAGCUCUUUUACCCGGGAUGAUAAUGACAGUACCGGGAGAAUAAGCUCCGGCUAACUCCGUG
rnacentral:rRNA from 1 species